rnacentral:rRNA from 1 species
GACAGAGGUGCCGAGCGUUAGGCGGAAUCACUGGGCUUAAAGCGUGUGUAGGCGGGCCGUUAAGUGUCUUGUGAAAUCCCCCGGCUCAACCGGGGAAUUGCUGGGCAUAUUGGCGGUCUUGAGCAGUUCAGGGGCAGAUGGAACAAGUGGUGGAGCGGUGAAAUGCGUAGAUAUCACUUGGAACGCCAACGGUGAAAACAGUCUGCUGGGAACUUGCUGACGCUGAGACACGAAAGCCAGGGGAGCGAACGGG